CAGGAAGGCAAGAAGGGGGGCAGGAGGGCACGCGCUGGACGCCGAAGGGCACGGCGUGGCCGCCCCGGGUGACGCCGGUUGCGCCCUCUCAGCAGCCCCGCCGGGUACGGGACGGGCUCUCAGGGAUCGCCGGUGUCCCCGCUGUCCCCCACCUCCCCUGGUGGCAGCCGCCAUCGCCUUAUUUGGUGGGGUUUCAUUAGCUGCAUGCCCGCCGUCGGGGCUGGGAGCACGCAGGGCUCCUGCACUUCUCGGCCCCGGGUGUGAGGGGCUGGGGGGGAGCGGCAGGGAGCGGUCGGGGUUCGUGUGCUGAGCCCCGGGACAGAGCCCAGGAGGGUCCCCAGCCCCGGGCAGGAGCCUGCUGCUCCUCUCCGAGUGCCCCCCGACGGGAGGAGCCGCUAAUGAACGAGGGAAAAGGGGCACUUGGAGCUCUUCGGGGAGGUAAAGUGCCGUAGGGCGCCCAGUCAGCAGCUGUGCUUUGGGACCGACCUGCUGCCGCUGGAGCUUGUGCCGGUGCUUAUUUUGGGAGGAUAACUGCAGAUUGAUGAUGGUUUUUAUCCUUUUUUUCCUCCAGUUUCUCACUAACAGCGCUUUAAAAUAAAAAAAGAAACCCUUCCUUAUUCAGGCACGAGUGGUUUGGAUGUGUCUUCCCUUUGUGCAGUUGUUUAGGAUGGAGUCUCUUAGUGCAGCAACAAGCUUUUAAUGCUGGUUCAACUGCAAUUCUACAACUUCACAUAGUGUUAGAAAAUGAAAUUGUCGGUUGCUUUCCAAGCAACUUCAUCACAAGCAAACACUGAAAAACCGAAGUGGCAAAGAAAUAACUCGCACAAUCGGAGAUAAAGAAGCCAGGAACCAUAUGGUGCAGCAGUUAACUUAGCAUGUAUUAUUAAUGCUGCCAGGAACAGGGAAACAAGCUGCUGUAAAAACAAACAUCCAAGAUGGCAUAUCACACAAAAUAAAAGCAAAUGCAGGAUGGAUAGCAAUCUGCCAUAAGACAUUUAAGUACUGGGGGAGAAAAAUGUCUUAAGGCAAGGUAUACCAUCCUUACUGUAAGAAAAAAAAAUUAAUCACGCUUUGCCAGACUAUGUUAAUAGUGAGUGGUCUUGCAGUACGGUGUACUGCAAACAAGCAGCGGCAAAUGUGGCCCCCAUUCUCAUGGCUGUGGCUUGCUGGGGCUGAGGAGUCAAUAAACCGGUUAGCAAACUGGUGCUUCCAACGCUACCACAACUCCCAGCGCAGACAUCUGUGCGUCAAGUUGCCAGUGGCUGACUGUGCGAUAGGAAGCUGGCAGGAAAAACCUCCCAAAUGGCUGAAAAGAAUCGCUGAAUUAUUUGGCCGCUUUCUGGACUCCUUUUGGAGAGUGCAGAUGUGCACGAAUGCCAUUUGUUAUUUUCCAACACUUCUGAAGUACUAAAGAUGUCAGAGAAAGUGCUGGAGGUAUCUGAGCCAGCAGACGCAACUGCAGAUGAUGUCAAAAUGUUUAAUGUAGCAUCUCCAUAUUGUGGUAUACACAACAUCUGUGAGAGUGAGUGAACAUUUUUGCAUGAAGGCGAUCAAGCAAAGGCAGGUUUUCAUGGUCUGAGCAGGCAGCAGGGAAGUGUUCGGGUUGCUGUUAGGCGUGGGUACCAUUUCUGGGAAUCCACAGCCUUGCAUCUUACAGAAAAUAGCUAUCUUUUAAUCUGAGCCAUUGGCAAAAGAGAGCCACAUAUCACGGAAGAGUAGCGAGUGGUUGGUGGAGCACCAGGUCGCAGCCUGAGAAUCUCUGGCCAAUUGUCAGUGCAUCAUUUUAUCCAUAGAUGCAGGCAGGGAGCUGACCUGGCAGCUUAUCGGCCACGUACAAUGUGCCCAUUAUAUAGAGUGGUGUGUUUACAUUGGGGUGAGUUACUCCUGCCCUGUGCGAGGUCUGGAGUGAAGUGAGUCACAGGUACAGCAAGCUGGAAAAUUGCAGCAGAUUGCAGUCUGGUGGCAAAGACUUGCUCUCCAAGACUGUCCACUUGCAGGACGCUGAAUGCCCUGCUGGAUCUGCCUCCUGUUCACGUUCAGCACUUGGCUGCUGCAAGCUUGAUACAUUAACGCCUGGUUUAUGAUCAACGCUUAGCUCUCUAUUUUGUUUAAUCAGUCCUGUGUCUCACAUGAGGCUAAAAAGGUCAGAGUCCACCAAGCCCUUCCUUCAGCUCAGCGGUGUUUAAGAACACCUUGUGGCUUUGGCUGUCAGGCAGCAGGACAAGAGGGCAUCCAUCGCGCAGGCACGCAGUGGGCUGCUGGGGCUGAAGGGCAGCUUGGGUUAUAGCUGCGCUGUGCCCCGUCAGUCUGUCUGACUUCCUCUGGCUCUUCUUCUGCCUUUACUUCACCCACAAAACUCCUCCCUCAUCCUUUUGUGCAUAUUUUUGAAUCAGCUAAGCUAUUUCUGUUGCAGUCGUAUGUUUUCCCUGCUAUCAAUAGUAUACACAUUCCUUGUUUGCCACAUGGAUAUAUUUCUUCCCAAGCUGCUUUCUGAGUCUCUAUCAUUACAAAGACAACUGAUUUUAUGUAUAAAUUCUUUUAAAUGUUUUGUCUCAUAAACAAGGUUUCCAUGCCUAGGCAUGAAGCACAGGUUCCUACCGUGUUCCAAAAUAAGGAAGUGAGUAGGAUUUAAACAAAGAGAAUAAAGUCAUUUAGAUUUGUGUUCCAAGGAAACGCUUAUGAUAACACAGGGCAGAGUUUCUGCACCAGCUCAGUAUUUUGCUUGAAAUUAAGCAUGUUUGGUAGAGAACUUGAUUUUAAAACUUCAGGCUUGAAGAUCUUCUAAUGUUUAAUUAGCCAAGAAAAAACGCCUAUGGGAUAUUAGAAAUAUCCCCAAAGGAUGAUAAUUGUGAAUGCACAAUAACCUUCUGAGUUUCAGCAGUUAGUUAAUUCUUACCAUGUGCUGCUUUUAUUCUGUGAUGAGGGAGGACGGGGCUCUGAGGCCACAUGCCUGCAGAUUCCGUUCCCUCUUUCUCAGGGGAUUCCCACUGCUUGGAGAAGCAGCUCAUGCAUGUUAGGGGAAAAACUGAAUUCCACUGCUCCCAAAAAAAGCAUGCAAGGAGGGUUGUGAGAGUUUUCCUUUGUAUAAUUUUUUUUUUUCUCAAUUUUGCCAUGAGGGACAUGCUCCAACAUUUUAAAUUCAAUGCAGUUGUUAUUACUUAGCAGGGAAGGUACAGGAAUGAGAGAGGAGGACUUUGAUAUCAUCUGCUGCAGAAAAAGGAGGAGAGGGCAACAAUCUACUACCAGUGAAUGUUUGUGGCGUAAGAGCAGGAGUAAGGACAAAUUUUAUAUUCAUUGGUGUUCAAAGGGAAAGACGAGCUAUAUGGAGCUAUAUGGAAAACAAGAUUGUAAGCAAGCAAGUCUAGAAAGCAAGAAACAGGAAGAAUAGUCUGAAGUAAAUAAAUAGAAAUGCGGCCUCUGGGAAAGGAGAUGUGGGCAAAUGGAAUCACUAUUGUAUAAGAUGAUCAGCUGUUCUAGGAGAAAACAAUGGCAAAAAAAGGCCAGAACAUAAUAUUAUUUUUCUGAUAUUGUUUCUGUCAAGUAGAAGAAAAGAGUCCGAUGCUGAGAUUCUUCUGAAAUCCCCAAUUUAUCCUCCUCAUUCCUACAUGCUCAGCCUUAUUCUCCUGGCUGUGUUUCUUCAAAUCAUUUCUUCUACUCAUUUUUCUAUUUCCUAUACUCAUAUCUAAAAUGCUUUGGCAGUAAUAAUGUUUGGUCUAAGAUGCCAGUGAUUCACAGCCAAAAUUUCUCACUUGCAAAUUCUCAACGAUCUCCAUAUAUUGUUCUCCUUCUAGCACAAGUGUCAUAAAUUUUCUUAUUCUUAAGAGGUUACAUCUGGAUGUUAAUAGCAGUUUUGCCCGAGUAUUGAUUUAUCCCACUAUCUUGUCAUCUGUGCACAGGCUAAUACAAAGCAGUUCUGACUUUGUGCUAUUCACCAAGUUUCUCUUUGACUCUGCCAGCAGUUACAGUGUUUUGCAGCAGUAAAUUGUCUACCUCACUGGACUCAUCAAGAAAAAAAAAAACAGUUUCUCAGUCUGCUCGCACAGGCUCUUAAAUACCUCAUUAAUUAAAUGUUAGGUGUGAAACUACAGUAAGAAGCCCUGUUAUUUGCUGGUAUUCUUUGUGAUAGGAUAUUCUGGCCAGAGUUGAUGUUAUAACUGCUACAAACACAAAUCUCCAUUCUGAUUUCUCCUGGGUAUAAUGAACCAGCAAGGAAUGCAAGUGAAAAAACAAUUGUCAGUGAAUAUAAUGGAAAAAAUCACAAGUAAUUCUUAGAACAGCUUAAAAAGAAAUAGGUGGAACACCAUGAGGAGGUGAACUCAUCAGUCUAGUUCUUGUUUAAAAAAAAAAAAAACAACAAAGAACCACAACAACCAAAAACAAAAAGCAAACAAUAAGAAAUACUACAAGGGUAAUGCAGCUGUAGGCCGUGCUGGAUGUCACGCUGCUCAGGUGGUAGAAAGUCAUUUGGCUUUCAGCCCUUUGCCUCACAGCUUACUCAGAAUCUGUGGUAUUUUCUGUAACCACAUACUUUAAUAUGUGGCAUUGCCUUUCUACUGUAGCUGAGGUUUAGCUAAAAUUAAACUGUCUUCAAACCAGUAAAUGUGAAUUUUAGGUCUUUUUGCUCGGGUAGUAACAACAUCAAAGAAAAACUUGUUCCCUAUAUGAUCCAUCUUCCAUCUUAUCCCAUCCUUGUCUUUCCUUCUUCCUGUUUUCUUCUGUGAGCCUCUAGAUCGCCUCAUCCGCUUUGUCUGAAUAUUCCUCCAAAGCUUUGGAAAAUGUCAAAUGCUAAUAAGUUUCUAUCAAAUACAUGUGAACUGAGUCCAUUGUCAUAAAGCGGCCCAAUUUACUAAAUUGCCAUCAGGAAUGUAAAGGAUACCUCUGGUGGCUCAAGGGCCAGAUGAGUGCUGAACAUCAAAACUUUGCCCCAAGCAUGAGAGAUUGCAGGAAUUAUUUUACCUUAUUUUUUUUUUUGUAUAUUAAUUUUACACUAUUGGAAAUGGUGGGUCCCUUUUUUCUUUCCAAAGAAAAACAUACACAUUCAGGAAGAUGGUUUUCUUAGAUGUAUAAAUAUAAAAAAGCUGUAUAACAGAAAAAGGCAAGUUAUAAACAGAAAUUUGGCCUUGACUGAAAGUAGUAAUGGAAUCAUAUAAUCACAGAAUUGUAGAACCAUAAUAUCCAGAGUUGGAAGGGACCCACAAGGAUCAUCAAGUCCAACUCCUGGCUCCACACAGGACCACCCAAAAAAUAAGCCAUGUGUCUGAG